UAACACGUGAGCAAUCUGCCCUUCACUUCGGGAUAACUCCGGGAAACCGGUGCUAAUACCGAAUAUGACCACUUCACGCAUGUGAUGGUGGUGGAAAGUUCUGGCGGUGGAGGAUGAGCUCGCGGCCUAUCAGCUUGUUGGUGGGGUAAUGGCCCACCAAGGCAACGACGGGUAGCCGGCCUGAGAGGGUGACCGGCCACACUGGGACUGAGACACGGCCCAG
rnacentral:rRNA from 1 species